ACCCAAGGUCACGCAGCAGGGUAGCGGUGGAGCCGGAGUUAGAAUCCAGGUCUCUUGACUCCCAGACCCAAGCUCUUUCCACUAGACCAUGCCGCUUUCUCUCACUCAUCUCCCCAAUAAAGCUUCCUCCUUUCCUUCCAUUCCCUUCCCUUUCUUUUCCUCUCCUUAGGAAGUGAAGGAGGAGGAUGGAGGGUGGGAGAGAGGAAGAACAGUACAGUGGGAAUCUAACAAAAAUAGAAAAGAAAAUUUAACCGUCCAUCCCUUAAUGCUUCUUGUUCCCUAAAUGGACUGAUUUUCUUUAUAUUAUAAGAUCUCCUGAAGGCAAGGGACGGUUCUUUUACUUGAAACUAUUAAUAGCAAUGAGUUCAGCGCAAUCUACAUUGUUAUUCUGCUCUCCCAAGCGUUCAGUUUGGUGCUCUGCCCACAGUGAGCCCUCAAUAAAUACUUUUGAUAUAGACCCCUGAAUAUUUGCUAAUAAUAAUGGUACUUGUUAAGUGCUUACUUUGUGCCAAGUACUGGAGUAGAUACAAGUCAUUCAGGUUGGACACAGUUCCUGUUCCCCCAGGAGGUUCACAUUCUUAAUCCCCAUUUUACAGAUGCGGUAACUGGAGACACAGAGAAGUGAAGUGACUUGCCCAAGGUGUCACAGCAGACAUGUGGCAGAGCCAGGAUUAGAGCCCAGGUCCUUCUGACUCCCAGGCCAGUGCUCUAUACACUAAGCCACGCCGCUCCUCCCAACGAUGCUGACAGUGAUCGAGUCACCUCCCUUCUCUGGGUCUCGAUUUCCUGUGACUGGAUAAGUACCGACUCUCAAACUCUCCAAUAUGCCAAGCGCUCCGUAUAGGUUGUGGAGAGGCGAUGGUAAAUGCCACUUUCCGGCAGUGUAACGAUGAGUCUGCCCGGUGUGUGCAAAAUCUCACCUCCUUGGUACCUCUCAUUUCCUGUUCCAGCUCCCGGGUAAAAGCAACUGGAGAAAAGCUGCCACUUUGUCCCCCUGCUGCCUGCCUGCCUCCAAAAGAAGCCCGGCACCUCUCUGCCCUGGGAGGGCACUUUCCCUCCUGUGUCCUUGCAGCUUGGGGCAGAUUCUGCUGGGAGCGGAGUACACAGUGCAGAGCGUGGAUUCAGCCAGGGGGUUUCAGGACAGUAACUUGUCACUUGGAGUUAAAUUCCUGGUCCAGGGCCCUCCAUUCCAUGAGUCCUUACUGGCUUGAAGGAGCUACUUCACACCUGCAAACGGGCCUAUGUUAUGUCCCCCACAAGCCUUCCCUCCUGCCCAGGAAGUGUUGA
rnacentral:lncRNA from 1 species